UGGCGAACGGGUGAGUAACACGUGGGCAACCUGCCCAAAAGAGGGGGAUAACACUUGGAAACAGGUGCUAAUACCGCAUAACCAUAGUUACCGCAUGGUAACUAUGUAAAAGGUGGCUAUGCUACCGCUUUUGGAUGGGCCCACGACGCAUUAGCUAGUUGGUGGGGUAAAGGCUUACCAAGGCAAUGAUGCGUAGCCGAACUGAGAGGUUGAUCGGCCACAUUGGGACUGAGACACGGCCCAAACUCCUACGGGAGGCAGCAG
rnacentral:rRNA from 1 species